rnacentral:rRNA from 1 species
AUGUACCCUUUGGCAUGGGCAGUAGUUGAACAAGAGAACAAUGAUAAUUGGGACUGGUUUUGUUCUUUGCUUUUCAGAGAUGUGAAUGUGCUAGAUGGUGAUGGUUGGGUGAUUAUAUUAGAUCAACAAAAGGUAAUUGUUGUAUACUGGAUGUCAUAA